AGUGAACGCUGGCGGUAGGCCUAACACAUGCAAGUCGAACGGCAGCACAGUAAGAGCUUGCUCUUACGGGUGGCGAGUGGCGGACGGGUGAGGAAUACAUCGGAAUCUACUUUUUCGUGGGGGAUAACGUAGGGAAACUUACGCUAAUACCGCAUACGACCUACGGAUGAAAGCAGGGGAUCUUCGGACCUUGCGCGAUUGAAUGAGCCGAUGUCGGAUUAGCUAGUUGGCGGGGUAAUGGCCCACCAAGGCUACGAUCCUUAGCUGGUCUGAGAUGAUGAUCAGCCACACUGGAACUGAGACACGGUCGAGAGUCCUACGGGAGGCAGCAGUGGGGAAUAUUGGACAAUGGGCGCAAGACUGAUCCAGCCAUACCGCGUGGGUGAAGAAGGCCUUCGGGUUGUAAAGCCAUUUUGUUGGGAAAGAAAAGCAGUAGGUUAAUACCCCGCUGUUCUGACGGUACCCAAAGAAUAAGCACCGGCUAACUUCGUG
rnacentral:rRNA from 1 species